rnacentral:rRNA from 1 species
UACGUAGGGUGCAAGCGUUUGUCCGGAAUUAUUGGGCGUAAAGAGCUCGUAGGCGGUCUGUCACGUCGGCUGUGAAAUCCCGAGGCUCAACCUCGGGUCUGCAGUCGAUACGGGCAAACUAGAGUAUUACAGGGGAGACUGGAAUUCCUGGUGUAGCGGUGAAAUGCGCAGAUAUCAGGAGGAACACCGGUGGCGAAGGCGGGUCUCUGGGCAACAACUGACGCUGAGGAGCGAAAGCGUGGGGGAGCGAACAGG